UACAGAGGUCUCAAGCGUUGUUCGGAUUCAUUGGGCGUAAAGGGUGCGUAGGUGGCGCGGUAAGUCGGGUGUGAAAUCUCGGAGCUUAACUCCGAAAUUGCAUUCGAUACUGCCGUGCUCGAGGACUGGAGAGGAGACUGGAAUUCAUGGUGUAGCAGUGAAAUGCGUAGAGAUCCGGAAGAACACCGGUGGCGAAGGCGGCCUGCUGGGCAGUUGCUGACACUGAGGCGCGACAGCGUGGGGAGCAAACAGG
rnacentral:rRNA from 1 species